CGUAACAAGGUUUCCGUAGGUGAACCUGCGGAAGGAAGGAUCAUUG
rnacentral:rRNA from 1 species